rnacentral:lncRNA from 1 species
CCUUUCUUACUUUUUUCCGAAACCAGAAUAUGUGAGUAAACUUUAUAACCUCUUUCGUUCAUGAAGUUAUGCUCUUAAAUAAAAAUCAUCCAGGAGUGUAUAUGUGAAGGCAAUAAGCUAGUUAACAUAUACAAUUGCAAGAAGAAGAAGGUAAGUGUGCAUAUACAGGACAAAAGAAUAUAUUUUUUAAGCGUCGGGGCUAUUAGAUUAACACAUACCAGCUCCAUCAACUAUUAUUUCUACUUGGGUAAUUUUGGUACCAAACUUUUAUAAACCCGUCAGCGGCUUAUCCCUAGGACCCGGAAAAAUAACACAUCGCCCGUCCAGCGGCGGUGUAUCCCUCGUCAUCGGCAGCGGCAGCCGAGUCUGCGUCCUCGCCCACAACCGAAUAUGUGGCAGUGGCGGCGGCGCCGCCCACCGAAUCCAGCGCUUCGGCGUCUUCCCGCACCGUCAAAGAUCAAUUGACUUGACCCAGGGCUGCAUCCACUCUGCUCUCACCGGCAACAAGGAGUGAUACGAAGGCAGUUAAUGACCAAUUCAAUUUGAAUAUAGAAAAAUUUCAGUAAAACUCAUAGUUCAACGCGAUCGUACAACUGAUAUGGUCGUUUCCAUGUGCGCCCUCGGUGUGGCAGCGCGGAGGCGUGACGAUGUGUACAGCAUCAUUCGCCCGCGGUCGCCUUGCGGCAUUGAAUCAAGAAGUAUGAGUUUCGGUGAAACAGUAAGAUGAAGAUGUGUAAGCAGACAGUAACACCAUGAAUCAGUUUAUUCCGAGACAUUUUUCUAGACGAAAAGCUUGCAAGUGCACGCUCUCUAAUCUCUACCUCUGCGCAUCCAUGUGAGGGCAGAAAAAAGGGAUUAGGAGAGAGAUGGGGCUGUUCACUGUACCUGCACAUCAGAUGGUGGUGGCGGUGUGGUGGACGAUGGCUACACGCGUGACGGGAUG